rnacentral:tRNA from 1 species
CCCCGGCAGAAACUACUCUGCUUCUUUGGAUUUGCAAUCCAACAUGUG